UGAGACAUUUCUUGGGGCUGCAGUUCCUCUCAUCUCCACAAGGUGGUGAUCUCACUCAUAUCCAGACAGGAAGAUUCUAUGGAAUGCAGACAGGAAGUGAUGUCAUUACAGACAGGAAGUAAUCUGGAAUAAAGACAAGACGUUCCAUGAGGCAGGAAAGAGGAGACAUUGCUGGAAGUAACAGCAGAGGAGGUAAUAAGAUCUUAUUUCCUAUUUACACCCACAGAGGUCACCUCCCCCGAUCACUUCCAGCAGCCCCCAGUGAGGGGCUUCGUUCUCUGUGACCCCAAACAUGGCACAAUGCAGCCACUGAGAUUCCCAAGUGAUGACAAAGGCUGAGAUAUUCAUCUACAAGGAGACCUGUAUAGAUCAAAAGACGGGACCAAUGAGGAUGGAGGAGGACCGGAGUCACAUGACUGAGCAGAUACUAAACCUCAUCCUGGAGAUCGUCUACCUGCUGACCGGAGAGAGAUUUCCUCUUGUGAAGUCAGGUGAUCACAUGACCAUCA